AGGCUGUCUUGUGACUUGCAAGCAACUCACUGUGCUUUGGUGUCGGACUAUCCGAAUUUCUAAUUCGAUGAUGGAAAAUUUUUAGGUACAGUCAAAUACUUGUAAAAUUUGAGUACGAGUCAAGAUGAAAUUGACCACUCCAAGUAAAAUUAGAGAUAAUGCAUCAUUGUGUUUCAAUUUAGCAAAAUUUUGACCAAAGUAGUCCUAGUGAGGAGUCACAGAAUUUUUUAGAUUGAGAUACAAUAUAGACCACUCUUCUUGGGU
rnacentral:lncRNA from 1 species